rnacentral:tRNA from 1 species
UCCCCUGUAGCUCAGUUGGUAGAGCGCCUCCCUGUUAAGGAGGAUGUCGUAGGUUCGAGACCUACCGGGGGAGCCA